GCCUGGUUGGCUCAGCUGGUGGAGCAUGUGACUCUUGAUCUCAGGUCUGUGGGCUCGAGCCCCACACUGGGUG
rnacentral:tRNA from 1 species